rnacentral:rRNA from 1 species
UACGUAGGGGGCUAGCGUUGUCCGGAAUCAUUGGGCGUAAAGAGCGUGUAGGCGGUCCGGUAAGUCCGUUGUGAAAGUCAGGGGCUCAACCCUUGAAUGCCGGCGGAUACUGUCGGGCUAGAGUCCGGAAGAGGCAAGUGGAAUUCCCGGUGUAGCGGUGAAAUGCGCAGAUAUCGGGAGGAACACCAGUGGCGAAGGCGGCGCCCUGGACGGACAUUGACGCUGAGACGCGGAAGCGUGGGGAGCAAACAGG